UCCGUUCAUCUUCUUCAUGGACUCGUUCUUCUUCCUUGCGGGAUUUCAGGCAAGAUGACCGCUACCCUGGAUCUCACUACUAUCAUUGCUAUGCUAGUUGCCUCGUUCUUUCGCUAUGCUGCGCUACCUAUUACCUGUUUGUCCAGCCAUCCCAUAUUGCCAUGAACCUCUAACCUUUGACACCUUUCCUAUGCAAACCGUUGUUUGGCUAUGUUACCGCUUUUGCUCAGCCCCUCUUAUAGCGUUGCUAGUUGCAGGUGAAGUUGAAGAUUUCUCCAUGGUGGACAGGGUUUAUGUUGGGAUAUCAUAAUAUCUCUUAUAUUAUUAAUGCAUCUAUAUACUUGGUAAAGGGUGGAAGGCUCGGCCUUAUGCCUGGUGUUUUGUUCCACUCUUGCCGCCCUAGUUUCCGUCAUACCGGUGUUAUGUUCCCGGAUUUUGCGUUCCUUACACGGUCGGGUGAUUUAUGGGACCCCCCUGACAGUUCGCUUUGAAUAAAACUUGUCCAGCAAGGCCCAACAUUGACUUUUACCAUUUGCCUCACCUAGCCCUUUUUCCCUUGGGAGUCGCGCUCUCGAGGGUCAUCUUUAUUUACCCCCCCCCCCGGGCCAGUGCUCGUUGUGAGUGUUGGUCCAAACCGUCAGCCGCCAGUGGCCACCAGGGGCAACUCUGGGCUGGCUUACCGGAAGUUUGGACAAUCCGGUGUGCCCUGAGAACGAGAUAUGUGCAGCUCCUAUCAGGAUUUGUCGGCACAUUCGGGCGGCUUUGCUGGUCUUGUUUUACCAUUGUCGAAAUGUCUUGAUGUACCGGGAUUCCGAGACUGAUCGGGUCUUCCUGGGUGAAGGUCUAUUCCUUCGAUGAUCGCGAGAGCCUGUCAUGGGCUAAGUUGGGACACCCCUGCAGGGUAUAAACUUUCGAGAGCCGUGCCCGCGGUUAUGUGGCAGAUGGGAAUUUGUUAAUGUCCGGUUGUAGACAACUUGACACUUGAUCCGAAUUAAAAUGCAUCAACCGAGUGUGUAGCCGUGAUGGUCUCUUCUCGGCGGAGUCCGGGAAGUGAACACGACUUCUGUGUUAUGUUUGACGUAAGUAGGUGUUCAGGAUCACCUCUUGAUCAUUGCUAGCUUCACGUCCGUUCCGCUUGUUCUCUUCUCGCUCUUAUUUGCGUUGGUUAGCCACCAUACCUUUGCUUAGUCGCUGCUGCAACCUCACCACUUUGCCCCUUCCUUUCCCAUUAAGCUUUGCUAGUCUUGAUACCCAUGGUAAUGGGAUUGCUGAGUCCUCGUGGCUCACCAGAUACUUCCAAAACCAGUUUGCAGGUGCCUAUGUUACCGAGCAGGUGACGCAACCAAGCUCAAGGAGGAGCUCGAUGAAGAUCUUGCCUUUUGUGUUGUUUCGUUCUAGUUGAUCAGUAGUGGAGCCCAGUUGGGGUCGAUCGGGGACCUUUUGUCGCAUUUGGGGUUCUUCUUUUAUUUUGGUUCCGUAGCCAGACCUUGAUUGUAUCUGGAUGAUGUAAUGCUUUAUUCAUGUAAUUGUGUGAAGUGGCGAUUGUAAGCCAACUAUGUAUCUCUUUCCCUUAUGUAUUACUUGGGAUGUGUGAAGAUUACCUCACUUGCGACAUUGCUUUCAAUGCGGUUAUGCCUCUAAGUCGUGCUUCAACACGUGGGAGAUAUAGCCGCAUCGAGGGCGUUACAAGUUGGUAAUCAGAGCCUUCCCCGACCUUAGGAGCCCCACUGCUUGAUCGUUUUUAGUGGCCGAGUUGUGUCUAGAAAAAUGUUUUGAGUCAUUUAGGAAUUAUAUAUCGGAGAGUAGGAUUGUUUUUACUCCCCAGUCCCUUCGACCUUCUGGUGAGGUAUCCUGACAUAGAGUUUUGACUCUUCUCUUCUUAAAUUUCACUAAAUUUUUUUUUUUAGGAUCACGGUAUCUUGGAAUCGUUCCGAUAUUCUUAUGACGAGAACAUUGUUCUUGGUGCCUCCUAACAUUUAGGGGUUGUGGCAGUGUCCCGGGGAGUUGAGCUCCGAGGUGUUGUCGUCAUAAUUUUAUCGUUGCAGUUCUGGAAUACCUGAGUUUAGUACGCCGACAUCGAAAAUCUCUUUUAUGCAGUUGUUGGUGAGAUAACCCCGCUAACCCAGUACUGAGGUGAGUACGGGAGUAUUGCCAUGACUCGUAUAACGGAUGCUUUUCGAAGGUUGAGGUAGACGAUUUCCGAAGGUUUCUUGGUUAUGUGUUGACGGAUGGAUACAGCUGGAUGUAGGGAUUGUUAGUUUGGGUGAUAUAUAUUGCUCCCCUGUAUCCCCAACACCAGAUUGCAUAACCAGAAAGUUUUGGGAGUUUCAUAGGUGGGAAUUCAAGUAGCUCUUAGGAUAUCUUUCUGACGGAUGUAUGAUAUGAAAUUGGGGCUCGAAGUCUAGUGGUCCGCCUAUUCACGGUUGGCUUUACAGUGGUCUCGUUGUGUCUUAAAGAGUCCUUGGCUAUGCCAACUCGGGGACGCUUCGUAUGUCAUGUGCACUGCCUUGUACAUGAUGGUGCUGUACGAUUGAGCCCGUGUAGGCCCCACCACAAAAACUUCAGACGAAAUCUCUAUCAUAUGUUUGUUCCGGCUUAUUCUGCAAGCCAGUACUUUGUUUUUGUUUUGAGUUGUGGUAUUCGAGUUGCUUCAAUGUCAAGUGUUGAUUCCAUACCUUUCCUAAAUGGUGGUCUCAUACUCCGAUGUGAAUACCAAUCCUUCUCGACAAUCGAGAUUGUCAUGUCAAUCCUUUUCAACCGGUGUGCUUCUCUUCAAGUGGAUCCCAUCAUUUUUCCCAUCCGGAAGAUCAAAUCUAAGUUUUCUCAACGGUGUUUGUUUCAUCCAUCCCAAGUUGUCUUUGUUUUCCCGCCCACCCACCCUUUUUCCUCAAGGACUCAGAUUUCUUAACCAAGUAUCCAUUUAUUCAUGUGAAGUUUCUCCAUUCUUUUCCGUCAAUGUUCUUACCCGGUGGUUCUCAAGAAGAUGUCCUACUAGUUUGUCAUUCGUCAUUCCUUUCUCUUCUCCGGUGGAUUCAAGUCAAGUUUUGUUGAUCAUAUCUUUUUCCUCAUUUCAAUGUCUUCUCAUACCGGUGCACCUCAUUAUCAUUCUACUUCUCGCUAUUUGUUAUUCCGGAGUGCUCAAGAUAUCUCGAAGAUUUGCGUUUCCAUUCUCAAUCCCUUCAAGAUAUUUCGAGAUUGGUAUCCCAUUCAAGUCAUUUAAUUCAACCGGUGCAACAUCUCUUUUAAAUAAUUUCCGAUGGUGUUUCUUUUGAGUGGGCCCUAACCCACAGGUCUUUUUCCAGGAUCUUACCUGACUCUUCUAUUUUCCCAGAGCUAUCCUAAAUUCUUCUCCAAGUUUGACGUAAGAAUGAGUUAUCAUCAGUCAAAUGCUUUCUCCAAGAUCUUUUAAAUUCUUUUCAUAGUUGGCUCAACUUCUUCGCUUUUGAUUCUUCCGGUGUGCCUCAAUAAUUCUCGGUGGUGUUUCUCGUCAUCAUUCUCAACAUUUGAAGACCGAAGAAGAGUUUCUCUUUAAUCUUGCUCUAUUCUCUUCAAGAUGCGUGGUUCUAGCUUGUUGCCAUCCUCUCAUAAUUGUUUUCGAUUGUGAGAAUUCUUUUCACCCAUCCGGAGCAUUUCAUGAGUUGUUUCCAUUUCUUUCUUCCGAAGGCCAUCAUUUCUGAAUACUACUCAUUCUCAGCUUUCAGCUCUCGUUCUUGAAUUCUUACCGGUGAAUCGUUCAAUUAUCCUCUAAUCAGUUCAUGUUCUCUUCAUUCUCAUGUAUCUAAAUCCCCUCAAGUAUCUUCAUUCGUCUUCCAAUUCUUCCGGUGAAUUGUGCAUUUGCUACUCUCUUUUUCAAUUCUUACGGUGGUUCUUUCAAGAUCUCUCUUCCUUGUUCAUCAUAUCAAUAUUUGUUGUUUCCAAAUCCCACCGGUGGUUCCAUCAAUACCUUCUCAAGCUUGCGCCAUAUCUAUCUUAAUCCUUUCUACGAGAAUAAGUAGUAUGCCAAAUCCAUUGCUUGUCAUCAAUCUAAUUGGUGAAGGAUGAGCAUAAUGUAAUUCUUAUUCUUGUUUCAUCGAGUAAAUUCAAUUCUUUUCUUCCGGAGAUUGUUCAGGAUGAAGUAAUUCUCGGUUCUAGUGUUCAUCUUUUCUUUCCAGAGUUCCAAGUUUUCUUGGAUGUCUCGUCACGAAGCUCCACCUAUAUCAUUGCAAGGCUUCAAUCUUGUUUGCUUCAACCUUCAAUUCUUGUAUGUUAUCAUUUCCUAUCCGGAGUUCUUCAUGCAGGCAACAUGGUGAUUCGUCAAGGAUUCUAUUCAUUCUUCAAUUGUUCUUCAAGUUUUCUCUUGAAGUUAUGACCCGCCAAGCUAUACUCUAAAAUAAACAUGGUGCUCAACACAUGUUUUGUUUUGAGGAGCUCAAGUAUUCUUCAUCUUGCAUCCCAAAGUGCAAUUCUUCUCCAUUAUCUGUUGAGGUGGUGUUAUGUCACUCUUGACAAUUUCCUUCUUGUUUCAUGAUUCAUAUGUUGUCAAGAAUGAGGUACUUUAAAUCCACCAAUAUCUUCCUUGGAGUCAUCUUGUGUCAUGGUUCACCUAAAGCUUUCCCUAAGGAUUGUUGCUAAUUAUGGUGCUUAUAAAUGACCCAAGUUCUUCACUUGUCCUCCCGGUGAAAUAAGUUUCUCGUCUCCUUGUUGAUAUUCAAUCCAAUCAUUUGUUUCCGUUGGUGGCAGAAGCUCACCUCAUAAUUUUGAGAUGCUUUCAUAAGCCCGCCACAAGCUUAUUCUUUUCGUUGUUGGUUUCCCAACAACCCCGUUAUAACCUUCUUAGAAGGGUGCUUUCCAAGAUCAUUUGUGGCAGAAGUUGGCAUUUUCUUCUCCGUUCUUUUAUUCAAAUGAUCUAUCUUCUAUUCUUUCGUUACGGAGGUAUGGUGAUGUUGCUCUCUUCACUAAUCAUCUCAAAUUGUGAGGAUCGUGGUCUUUUCUUGCUUAUCCAUUUAACCGGAGUGUUGUAUCAUCUCUUCAGUAUCUUUUCAUCUCAUCAAGUUUUCUUCUCUUUUCUACCGGAGUGCUGUCCAAAUUCUGUCAUGCUUGUUCCUUGUCUAUCUCAUUAUACCGAGGUGGUCAUAUUCUUUUCGUUCGUGAAACUUUUGAUUCAUGUCUUUGCAACCUUCAGUUCUCGUAAUGUUCCUUGUUCCUUUUUUCUAACGGAUUGUUUGCAAUCUCGUUCAUCUCAGUCGUACUCUUUCUUUUAAAUUGCUCAACCUCUCAAGGUCCGUUGUUUCACUCGUUUGCCGAAGAAGCAACUUAGUUUUACCUCUUCUCUUCCUCUUCCGUUUCUCUCCGGUGCCAUCCUAGAUCUCGGGACGAGAUCCUCUCGUAGUGGUGGAGUGUUGUAACGCCCCGGAUCCGAUGUGCCAGGUGUCGUCCAGUUAUUCGUUGUUGUUGCCUUGUCAUCUUCUUGCGUGUUGCAUUUUAUCAUGUCAUCAUGUGCAUUUCAUUUUGCAUACGUGUUCGUCUCAUGCAUCCGAGCCUUUUCCCCGUUGUCCGUUUUACAAUCCGGCACUCCUAUGUCCUCCGGUGUUCCCUUCUUCCCUCUUUUCGUGUGCGGGUAUUAAACUUUCUCGGAAUGGCCCGAGGUUUGCCAAGCGGCCUUGGUAUAGCACCGGUAGACCGCCUGUCAAGUUUCGUGCCAUUUGGAGGUCGUUUGGUACUCCAACGGUUAACCGGGUAACCAUAAAGCCCUCUUUGAGUUGCAGCCCAACACCCCUUCCAAAGUGGCCCAAAACCCAUCUAACUCCCCUCCAUGUUCUCGGUCGUUCGAUCACGAUCGCGUGGCCGAAAACCACUCCUCAUUUGGACUCUCCUAGCUCCCUCCACCUAUAAAAACGUCUUCCCCUCUCCAUUUUCGGAUCAUUUCCCCCCGAAACCCUAACCCCGCUCCUCUCCGCGCCGCCGGACACGUCCGAUCUGGACCGGACGCGUCCGCCGGCCACCUCACUCCGGCCAAUAGCAGGCUGCCACGUCACCCCGCCGCCGCCGCUAGCUACCCACACACCGCCACCUCACCCGCGCCCGCACCCUCUCUCUCCUCCCUCCGCCGCAGCCCGCGGGAGGCCCUCCCGGCCCGGUCGGCUGCCGCCGCUGGCGGCACCCCGUGCCUCCCGGGCCCGCGCUCGCCCUCCGCGUCGCUAUGCCAUCCAUCAUCGCCGGCGACCGGGGCCUCGCCGGAGCCCCACAUCGCCGGCCCCGCCGCCCUGCCUCGCGGGUNNNNNNNNNNNNNNNNNNNNNNNNNNNNNNNNNNNNNNNNNNNNNNNNNNNNNNNNNNNNNNNNNNNNNNNNNNNNNNNNNNNNNNNNNNNNNNNNNNNNNNNNNNNNNNNNNNNNNNNNNNNNNNNNNNNNNNNNNNNNNNNNNNNNNNNNNNNNNNNNNNNNNNNNNNNNNNNNNNNNNNNNNNNNNNNNNNNNNNNNNNNNNNNNNNNNNNNNNNNNNNNNNNNNNNNNNNNNNNNNNNNNNNNNNNNNNNNNNNNNNNNNNNNNNNNNNNNNNNNNNNNNNNNNNNNNNNNNNNNNNNNNNNNNNNNNNNNNNNNNNNNNNNNNNNNNNNNNNNNNNNNNNNNNNNNNNNNNNNNNNNNNNNNNNNNNNNNNNNNNNNNNNNNNNNNNNNNNNNNNNNNNNNNNNNNNNNNNNNNNNNNNNNNNNNNNNNNNNNNNNNNNNNNNNNNNNNNNNNNNNNNNNNNNNNNNNNNNNNNNNNNNNCUCGUGUCGGCGCCGUUCCCCGCCGGGGACCCCCACCGCGCCGCCUCCCGCGCCUGGCCGCCGGAUCCGCCCCGUCCCCGCCGUCCGCCGGCGUCCUCGCCUCGCCGGAUUUGCAGCGCCGCCCCUACCUCGCUCGAUCCAGGCGGGAUCGAGGAGGACGAACCCCUCCGCGGGCCAAGGCCCAGCCCCGUCCAGAUCCGACCCAGCCUCCUCGGCCCAGCGGCCUCCAGGCCCAACGUCCAGCUCCAGCGGCCCAGCCGGCCUCCCCUCCAAGGCCCAGCGCCAGGCCUCCUCUGCUUCCGACCCGGGCCAGGCCCAAUGUGAGCACAACCCCAGCCCAGCACCCAGCGGUUUCAGCCCGUGUAUAUUUUUUCCUGCUACUGCGGUUUUAACAUUAUCCAUUGUAUUAACAGUUUUACAGAAAAACCCCUCCAUGUUCAUGCAUUAAUAACUCAUUAACCGUGCAUCGGAUUAAAACAAACUUUAUAUGUAAAAUGCUUAGAAUUUCAUCUAGUUUCAUAAUAUGCCAUUUUCAUCCAUGUUUAAAAUGUAUAAAAUGUUGUUUUUUUAAUUUUGCUCAAAUAGCAUGUUAAAAUGAUUUAUUUCAUAACUAAUUAACCGUAGCUCCAUUUUAAAUAAACUUUAUAUGUAAAUGGGGUGAAAAAAUGCCUAGUUUAACAUGGUCCACUUUAUUUUCCUGUUUAACAACUUUAAAAUAUGGUUUAGGACAGAACAGUACCAAUUUCGAAAUAUGCAUAUGAGGACUUACCGGAAUUGUUAUAUGUUGUUCCCGGCCUCAUUUAAACUUGCCUUGAUGUGUUGUUCUUGUGUGCAUCAUCUCUUGCCAUGAGUAGCUUCAUGUAGCUUGGUCAUGCAUCAUGCUUGUUGUGCAUCAUGUCAUGUUCAUGUGUGGUGUGUUUACCAUGUAGUGUGCUUCUUCUCGAUAGUUCCCGUUUCGUUGCGAUCGUGAGGAUUCGUUCGUCUUCGGUUGGUUCGGCUUCAUCCGUUCAUCUUCUUCAUGGACUCGUUCUUCUUCCUUGCGGGAUUUCAGGCAAGAUGACCGCUACCCUGGAUCUCACUACUAUCAUUGCUAUGCUAGUUGCCUCGUUCUUUCGCUAUGCUGCGCUACCUAUUACCUGUUUGUCCAGCCAUCCCAUAUUGCCAUGAACCUCUAACCUUUGACACCUUUCCUAUGCAAACCGUUGUUUGGCUAUGUUACUGCUUUUGCUCAGCCCCUCUUAUAGCGUUGCUAGUUGCAGGUGAAGUUGAAGAUUUCUCCAUGGUGGACAGGGUUUAUGUUGGGAUAUCACAAUAUCUCUUAUAUUAUUAAUGCAUCUAUAUACUUGGUAAAGGGUGGAAGGCUCGGCCUUAUGCCUGGUGUUUUGUUCCACUCUUGCCGCCCUAGUUUCCGUCAUACCGGUGUUAUGUUCCCGGAUUUUGCGUUCCUUACGCGGUCGGGUGAUUUAUGGGACCCCCCUGACAGUUUGCUUUGAAUAAAACUUGUCCAGCAAGGCCCAACAUUGACUUUUACCAUUUGCCUCACCUAGCCCUUUUUCCCUUGGGAGUCGCGCUCUCGAGGGUCAUCUUUAUUUACCCCCCCCCCCGGGCCAGUGCUCGUUGUGAGUGUUGGUCCAAACCGUCAGCCGCCGGUGGCCACCAGGGGCAACUCUGGGCUGGCCUACCGGAAGUUUGGACAAUCCGGUGUGCCCUGAGAACGAGAUAUGUGCAGCUCCUAUCAGGAUUUGUCAGCACAUUCGGGCGGCUUUGCUGGUCUUGUUUUACCAUUGUCGAAAUGUCUUGAUGUACCGGGAUUCCGAGACUGAUCGGGUCUUCCUGGGUGAAGGUCUAUUCCUUCGAUGAUCGCGAGAGCCUGUCAUGGGCUAAGUUGGGACACCCCUGCAGGGUAUAAAAUUUCGAGAGCCGUGCCCGCGGUUAUGUGGCAGAUGGGAAUUUGUUAAUGUCCGGUUGUAGACAACUUGACACUUGAUCCGAAUUAAAACGCAUCGACCGAGUGUGUAGCCGUGAUGGUCUCUUCUCGGCGGAGUCCGGGAAGUGAACACGACUUCUGUGUUAUGUUUGACGUAAGUAGGUGUUCAGGAUCACCUCUUGAUCAUUGCUAGCUUCACGUCCGUUCCGCUUGUUCUCUUCUCGCUCUUAUUUGCGUUGGUUAGCCACCAUACCUUUGCUUAGUCGCUGCUGCAACUUCACCACUUUGCCCCUUCCUUUCCCAUUAAGCUUUGCUAGUCUUGAUACCCAUGGUAAUGGGAUUGCUGAGUCCUCGUGGCUCACCAGAUACUUCCAAAACCAGUUUGCAGGUGCCUAUGUUACCGAGCAGGUGACGCAACCAAGCUCAAGGAGGAGCUCGAUGAAGAUCUUGCCUUUUGUGUUGUUUCGUUCUAGUUGAUCAGUAGUGGAGCCCAGUUGGGGUCGAUCGGGGACCUUUUGUCGCAUUUGGGGUUCUUCUUUUAUUUUGGUUCCGUAGCCGGACCUUGAUUGUAUCUGGAUGAUGUAAUGCUUUAUUCAUGUAAUUGUGUGAAGUGGCGAUUGUAAGCCAACUAUGUAUCUCUUUCCCUUAUGUAUUACUUGGGAUGUGUGAAGAUUACCUCACUUGCGACAUUGCUUUCAAUGCGGUUAUGCCUCUAAGUCGUGCUUCGACACGUGGGAGAUAUAGCCGCAUCGAGGGCGUUACAUUGAAGCAGACGCUCCCGGCAAGCUGUGUCCCGACACGUUUGCCGGGGAGCAUCACGCUCCGGCAGGAUCCCAGAUUCUUGCCGUAGAAGCGGAUGUUCCCGCAGCAGCAUUUACGCCUUUAGUCCUUGUUGUCGAGCCACAAGCUCCGACAUGGGCACAACAGAUAGUCCAUUUCCUUCAAACAGGAGAACUUCCGGAAGAGCAAGAAGAAGCAGAGAAAGUAGCCCGGCAAUCAAGUAUGUACCAGUUUGUCGAUGACAUACUAUACAGAAGAAGAUUCAACGGAGUGAAAUUGAAGUGCAUUUCCCGGGAAGAAGGACAAGAGCUGUUGGCGGAGAUACACGGAGGCAUAUGUGGUCACCACAUUGGCGCAAGAGCACUUGCCGGCAGGGCCUUCCGGCAAGGUUUCUUCUGGCCGACAGCCCUCCAGGAUGCAACUGCACAAGUAACCAAGUGUGAAGCGUGCCAGUUCCACUCCAAGCAAAUACAUCAACCAGCUCAAGCUCUCCAAACAAUCCCUUUAUCCUGGCCAUUUUCGGUCUGGGGGCUCGAUAUCCUCGGCCCCUUUCCCCGAGCUGUCGGGGGCUUCGAGUUCUUGUACGUGGCAAUCGACAAGUUCACGAAGUGGCUGGAGGUGGAGGCAGUGAGGAAGGUGACAGCACAGUCAGCAGUCAAGUUCUUCAGGUCAAUUGUUUGCCGUUUCGGAGUCCCUAACAGGAUCAUCACCGACAAUAGCACACAAUUCACGAGCCGCACCUUCAUGCAGUACGUCCAAGAUCUUGGCGCCAAGAUCUGCUUCGCUUCCGUUCCUCACCCGAGAAGCAACGGUCAAGCGGAGAGGGCAAACGCUGAAGUACUGCGCGGGCUCAAGACCAGAACUUUCGACAGGCUGCACAGGUGCGGAAGAAAUUGGAUCGAGGAGCUGCCAGUGGUUCUUUGGUCGAUCAAGACGACGCCAAAUCAAGCCACUGGACAGACACCUUUUGCUCUUGUCUAUUUAGCGGAGGCAGUUCUCCCCAUGGAACUCGUAUACGGAUCGCCUCGAGUGCUCGCUUAUGAUGAGCUUGAGCAAGAGCAGCUGCGGCAAGAUGACGUGCUGCUCCUCGAGGGAGAUCGUCUUCAGGCUGCUGUACGAGCUGCUCGUUACCAGCAAGCUUUGCGCCGCUACCAUAGCCGCAAAGUUAAUGCCAGAAGCUUCGAGGAAGGCGACCUUGUUCUUCGGCGCGUUCAAUCCGCCAAGAAUUCCAACAAGUUGACGCCGAAGUGGGAAGGCCCUUAUCGGGUAAAGCGAGUCACUAGGCCCGGCGCUGUCCGCCUUGAGACCGAAGAUGGCUUUCCAGUGAGUAACUCCUGGAACAUAGAGCAUCUUCGCAAGUUUCACCCAUAAGGCGCGGUUGCCAGGACCCGUUCCGACAACCACCUUUUGUACAAGCAUUGCCGCUGUCGCAUGUAACCCUUUGUACAAAGCCGGGCGCAGAUCCCGUGCAUAAAUAAAGAUUUUAUGUUCAGUACAUGUUGUCAAAUUUCGUGCAUUCUUCUUUUUAGCAUGUAUACACUGACACUUUGUGCAGAACUUACCCCCGGUAAGCAGCAACGAGCUUCAAGGCUCCAUAACUUUAUUUUCUCUUCUUUCUUUUGCUCAAAAAGAAGGUUCCUCCGCCCACAAGUUCACCAGGGGGGGGGGGGAGAAGAAGAUAAACAUGUGGACCGGGCGUCGUUCAAAGAAGCAUAAGCCUUGCCGGGACACAAGCGACAGAAAAGCUAAGUUGCCAAAGUUUGAGCACUGACAUUUUUAAAAUUUUUAAGUUAUAUUCCUUGAAGGACCGUGCCUUGUAUGGAAAACCUGUGCGCGGAGGAGUCGGCUCGUGGCUAAGUUGCGCCCUUACUUUGUUUCGAGUCCGCUCAACAAUGAAAGUGCGCUGCAACUAGCCCGACAAGGUUUCUUGCCGGAGGUAACACCGCCAGCAGGCUGCUGAUGUUCCGCACUCAGCGCUCGCGGCAAGUGUGUUCGCACCGGCAAGUUCCCUAAAAGCGUAAGGGUAAAAACAUACAAGGGAUGGAAUCAAAUAAAGGAAGUAACAUAGCGAAUAGUACCCAGAAUAAAGUUAUAUUACAAUAAAUAACUUGCCGCGCUCUAAUGGAUUGUUCCUAUGACAUAUCUAGCAGCGGCAAGAAGAAGGAAGGGAGAAGAAGAGUGGCCUAAUCUGCGCGACUCGCCAUCGAUCCUCCUGACUUCGUUCACCUUGUCCACGAUGGGUGCCACGAUGGCUUUGAGCUCCUCAAGAUCAGCACCCGCCGGCAAUUUCUUGAGAACGCGGGAGAAGUCGAGGCCUGGAUUGCGGAAGAGGAUCUUCACCAGCACCUUCUCCAAGACCUUGGCGCAGAUUGCGCGCGACUCGUCCGCCAGCUUCUUCGGGAUCCUUUCCCGGAGUUGCUGGAGGGCCGUCACCACGCCCUUGAAGAAGAGAGUAAGCUUGGCGCUGGGCUGGAGGUUCUCGUCGGAGGAGUACCCAAAGCCCGCCAAGUCCAGCUCCGCCAGCUCCUCGUCGAUGGAUGCAGCAAUGUUGAUGAGGCCCUCUAUCCAGAGCUCCACCGUAGCCCUGAAGGUGUUCUGGGUCUCAGCGGCCCUCGUCAGCAGCUCCUCAUUGCCCUUGAUCUCCUUCUUCAAGUCAUCCUCUCGCCUCUUGGCGGCGUCCAGUGCCUCCGUCAAGGUGGCCAGCUUCAGCUCCAGAUCAACGCUUGAGUCCUUGGCGGCGUUCAGUUCAUUAGCCUUCUCGGCGAGUUGAACUUGCAGAUCGCCAUGGGCAAGUGCAUCCUUCUCGCGUUCGCGCUGGAGUGCGGCAAGCUCUUCAUUCCUCUUUCCCAUACCCGCCUCCAGCUGCGCCACUUUCUCCUCUAACUCCUUCUUGGCGGCCUCAGCAGCCGCGGCGGCAUCCUUCGCCUCCUUGAGUGCACCGCCAAGUGAUUGCUCCCGGGCCUCGAGCUCCUCCUCGUGACUGUCCAGACUAGCCUUCUUCUGUGUGAGCUCACCUUCCCGCCUGGACAUCUCCUCGGUGGCGAGCCUCUGCUGCUCCUCGGGUUCAGCCUUCUCCAGGAUGAACGCCUCCUUUGCCUCGUCAAGUUGCACCCUCUCCUCCGCAAUGGAUCGGAGGGCCUCCUGGUUGCGGUUCUGGAGGUCCUGCGCGUGUUUCUCUAUGUCAACUCCCGCCUGCGCGACAAGCGCUUCCCGGGACUCGAGCUUUGCUUGCCGGGCACGGUAGAGUGACACCAACUUCCGGAGCAGCUGCUCCUCCUCGGACUCGCCACUCCUGCUGCUAGGCGCGUCAACCACUGCCAGCCCAGCAGAGGCGAGUACUUCUCCAUCAAACUCCUCUUCUUCAACCGGCGCCCUGGAGCUCGACGCCCAGGGAAGCUUGAUGUAUACGCCCUCGCUGGCCUUCAAGUAUGCGCCUGGCUGGGGCUCCUCGGAGCCCGGCACUGCAUCAGCGGCGGAGGGGUCGGCAGACGGUGUAGCGCCUUGCGCUCCUGCGCCCUCCGGGUCGUCAGUACGAUCGCCGGACCCCUCGCCGGCUCCUGCGCCAGCAGCCUUGGCGGCUUCCUCAUCGGCGGGUUCCUCAGCGCCGGCCUCUUCCUCGCCAGCGGCGGCAUCUCCAGUAUUGCCGCGUGCGCCUUCCUCGCCGGUGGCCUCAGUCUCCAUCGGGUCUGUGAGAGGGGGAUCUGAGGACAGGAAGAGGAAGGAGAAGUCAAGCAAAUAUCCAAAAAAAAAGAAGAAGAAAGAAGAUCAGAAGAAGAACCCAAGGGAAGAUUUCCGACAAGAAGGGUUACCUGUGCUGGGCUCCGUGACCAUGGGCUCCACCACUGGGGGCUCACUGGUUCCGCCCCUUGCCGGGGAGCACUCCCUUGUCGGAGAAUCGCCCCUUGGUGGCGUAGUUGAAGCCGACAGCACAUCCGGGGUGGCCUCUGGUUGCUCCUGGUGGGCCUGUUCUGCUCCUACACAAAUGAAUCAACAAUCAAGAUGUCAGCAAAAGAAGAAGCACCCAUGCGCGUCCCACAACAGGGAGUAAACCAAACACUUACGCUGGGGGCUGUGCUGGGGGCUGCUGCAAGGAGAAGGGAUGGGGUCCGUCAAGGUGGUCUCGGACGUGUCUUCUGCCAUCACAGCAGGAUCGUCCUCGAUGACAACCACGGGGACCUUGGCCCUCUUCGCCGCUCUCUCGGCCAGAGUCCUGAAAUGAAGCAGGGAUUCAGAGAGAAGCAAAUCAGAUGCAAGACAAGAAACGACAAAGAUCAAAGAAAAUCAAGAACAGCGAGAAGAAAGUCUUACUCCUCCUCCUCCUCUUCAUCGUCAUCGGAGCUCAGCGCGGAGAGGUCGAAGUCUGGUACCCUCUCUGCGCGGCAUGGCGGAGGAGUAGGCUCCCUUCGAUGUUUGCCAGGAGCUGCGGCAGCAUCAGACGAGGCGGCCCGGGAAGACCCCGCCUCAGUUGGUGGCACAGCCUGGGACCCUCCCGCGGCAACGGUACUUGCCGCGGUGGAGCGUGUCCCACGGCGCCUCGGUUGCUCGACUGCCUGUCCUCCUGCCGUAUCUCCAACUCGACGGAGGCGCCUUCUUGGUUGGAAUUGGGGUUGCGCUGGGGGCUCCGCCUGCGGCAAGCUGCUCGAAGACGGCUGGCCACUCGCGCCCUCGACGGGCUCGCUCGCUUCGGCCUCGGGCUCCCCCUGGCCAACGACCUCUCCGGCAAGGUCCUCCCUGUCGGCAAGGCUUGCCGCCUCGGCCGCCUCUGCCUCCUCCAACGUGAAGCCGAACUCGCCCGCGGCGGCGGCUGCCGCCGCCUCUUCGGCCCUGCUGGCGAUGUACCGCAUCUCAUUUUCGGUGGUGGCGCGGGUGAGAAGCUUCUUUUCGUCGGCGUUGACUGCUACCUCCAUCAAGCCAUUGAAGAAUUGCUGCACGACAUCGUCAGCGGGCUCCAUCCAAGUUGGGAUUAUCCCGUGUGAAUCGCACUCUGGCAUCAUUGCGCAGAUGCGAUCGCGCUGGGAGUUGUUGCACAAUGGGAUGAUGCCCUGCGGCAGCCUGAACCACUCUGGAUGGUUGGCGUCGUGCUUGAACAGCUCCCUCAGCAUCCUGUCAAGCUCCAGAACUGUGAAGUUGAAAUUGAGGCCCGGGCGCAGCCUCAUGUUAUCCGCCGGGCCGCCAAACUGCCAGGCGGGCCUGCCCCUCUUCUGCAGAGGGGCGAUGCGACGGCGAAGGAAAUCUGCGCCAACCGCCCCUGCUGUGAGCCCGGCAAGCCUGAGCCGGAGGAUUCGGGUGGUGGCAAUCUUCAGCUUGGUGUCGUCCGGCGACAGAGCGCCCCAGUCGCCGCCGCGAACUUCCCGAGCCUGGCGCAGGUUGGUGAAGGGCUGCGGAUUGGCAUCACAGAUCCAGCACCACUCCGCCCUCCACUCAUCCCACUUGUUGCGGAGCUCGCCCGCCAGAUACACCUCCUUCAUGCCAAGUCGAGAGGUCCAGGCGACUCCGCCAGCCAAUGGCUCUCCUUUUUCGGCUCGGGGGGUGAAAUAAUGGCGAAAAAGAGCAACAUUUGGGUGGAUGCCAACAAAGUUCUCGCAGAGGUGUGCGAAAACCGCCAUUGUCAGAACGGCGUUGGGGUGAAAUCAAGAAGAUGAAACCCGUAGGUAUUCAUGAUGUCGCAGAAGAAGUCCGAAAAAGGUGGCAGAGCCCGCACUAGAAGAACACCGGAAAGAAAUAGUACCCUUUUGGGCACCGCUUCAAUUUGGAAGCCUCAGCGGAAAGCACCGGCGUGCGCGGAUGCGCCCGCAUCUGUGUCGACCAGAAGAGGUAGAACUCCUCCCGCAGCGCCUUCGGGGUGAGCUCGGCGGGGAAAAGCACUCGCUUCUUGCACAGCGCCUCAAGCCGCAACGCCUCGGCCUACUUCGCGGCCUUGCUGGUCUUCGGAGCCAUGGCGGAAGCGGCGAAGGAGCGCGGAAGCGUUGGGGACGACGGCGGCGACGGGCGGCGAAGCGCUGCUCUCUUUCGACUUGGGAAGCGGAGGGGAUUGGCGGAGCUUUCGGAGGAAGGAACUGCAAGUAGCGAAGGUGGGGGAACGGCCCUGUUUCCUCUGCUUAUAUACAGGGGAGGCGAACGUUACACAUUUCCUGGACUUAAAAAAAUUGCCCACGACCUCUCCCACGACGCCGCGAUUGACGCGUGCCGUUACGGGAGGCCGCGGUGGAUACGGAGCGGAUUUGGUUUGGACCCAGGCCGCGCGUGCCCGUGCCCUGUUUUGGGCCUGGCCCAACAGCGCUCGGCACCGUGUAUGGCCCAGGCCCGGGGGCUCCUGUCGGUGUACUAAAGUAGGGGUACCUUAGUACCCCGAACUUGUGCACGGGCAGUCACAGCGUCCUGCGGCAAGGCUUGCCGGACGCCCGCCAAGACCCUCCAUCAUUCCCAUUUACUACCAUUCAAGAACAAAGUGUUAACUUUGAAGACAAGGCCCCGGCAAGAGGAGCUUGCCGGGAAGAACAAGACCCCGGCAAGAAGAGCUUGCCGGGAAGGACAAAACCCCGGCAAGAGGAGCUUGCCGGGAAGGCCAACCAAGGCACUUCAAAAAACUUGCCACGACGCGCCGCGCGUCCCGGCAAGACCCGACGAGCGGCAAGCUUGCGGGUGCGACAAGAUAGCGACCGCGGCAAGGCGCUUGCCGCGGCAAAGCCACCACUCUGCGCCCACGCUCCAGCUCACCCGACGACGUGUCGCCACAGGAUCAUUCCUGGUGCACGUGGCGUGUGGUUGUGCAGCCUAGCGGUGCGAGGUGGCGAGCGAAGGUGACUAGGAGUCCAUCGUGGCGAUCGGUGGCGCCCCUAACGGUCGUUUCCUGCACUGUUGGAACAACCAGACGGGCAGUAAAUGCUCUUGUCCCCUGCCGUCAGAGUUAGGUAGGGGGCACUGUAGAUUGCAGUGUACCAACCCACAUUUUUACCUUUCUACCCCUCUCUCUGCGUUACCACCUGUCGGUGACCCCUUUAGACUAUAAAAAGGAGGCCCGUGCGCACGUAGGGGGGGUUGGGGUCGGUUCGGUUCGACUCAUUCGAAACCACAGCAUACCCACGCUUUCGAGCAAGAACAAAUACAAACACAAAGCAGCAGUAGGAGUUUUAUCUCUCCGGAGAGCUCCGAAGCUGGGUAAAAAUCCCCCGCGCGCCCGACCUCGAUCUGCUCUUCAUGCACCCUCCGCUCCCUGCCGGACCAGAAAAGGGGCCCUGCCCCAUAGGUUCUCGUCUCACGCCACGACACAAUGGCUGCCAUCUCCUUGUGGUCUGUCGUCCGCCCGUCCCGAAGAGCGCUGGAGCGCGAGGAAGCCAUGGUGGGCAGUAGUGGUGUCGGCAGGAGAAAGAGAACGGAGGCGGAUGACUAUGGCUAUGGCCGGCGCGACAGUUUAUAUAGAAAUGGUGGGUGGCGGAGGGACAUACGUGUGGCGCUGGAGUAGUUGCCUUGGCAACCGCAUAUCAUUACUGUGGGUGGCAGAUGGAUGGACGGACGGUAAUCGCCUGCAGCGGGAAGCGGGGCGGGUGGCGCUGACUGUUUCGGGCAGAAAGCGCGUGCGGGCGAGGGAGGCGGUCUGGGUGGGCCAGGGCAAUCAGACUCGUGCUUGACAGCGGGUCGGUCCAGCAGCCAGACAUGCUGGCUCUCCAGCGAGCUCGCCGAGUUGAGCGACGACAAUCAGACGAUGGACGUAGCUUCCGACCAGGAGCCGGCGCCACUAUCCAAGCCGGUUCAUGCCAUGUUCACCAUAGAGCAGGUGCGGCCGCACUUUGACGCCCUAAGGGCGGAAGAGCUACCAGUGCAGGAGGACCUGUGUUGCAACCUCCGUCUCCUCAAUGAGCACCGAUGAACAAGCGAACGACAAUGCCAUCACGGACAUGUGGCCCUAUGAUCCUGGCUUCCCGAAUAAGCAGCGAGCGCUGUAUCAGACCAUCCGUAGGGCCCGUGAGGCCCUCUCCGUUGUCCUUCGAGUUGUUGUGCUCACCAUGGCGCCGUCGUCUCGCAUUGUCAACAUGGUCAAUGGACAUGAGGAAUGAGGAGAUGACUUUACUUGGAGAGGAUGACAGUGGGGACCCACCAGAGCCAUAGCCGCACGUACGCAAGUGCCUCCUUAUUAUAUACAACUAUAUUUUUUUGCUUCCUCCUAGUUUCCUGACAUCACGGUCCCACACCAUUGUCAACCUAUGUAGUCAAUAAAUGAGAGAAUUGCACAAGGAGCGGCCGAUAGUUGGGACCAAGCAGCUCGAGCAGUAUUUGUGCUUUUGAGGUGUGAGCACUGCAGAGUUUUUCUUGAGCGAUGUUUUCGGUGUUGUUCAGAGGAGAGUAGGGUAUUAACUCGGCGGGCUGUGGCCCGUCUAGCCCAGGCCAGAUAUCCAGCCCAGAUAUUAAUUUUUUUCAAGCUGAAAAUGGCUAGCCCAGCUAUACUUUUUUUGAGGAAUACCCAGGCAAGGUCAACUUGUUAUUCUCCGCCCCGCUCGGCUGCAAAUCUUUCCUUGGAGGGAUGCAUUAGGCUUAACAAGAAAAUGGGCUUUAAGAAAUAAUAAAUGGGAUGUAAUUAUAAAAACUUGGCAGUAACUAUAAAAAAAUGCACCAAACACGUAAUUACUUUAUAAAAUAUUAUUUUUGGAUUUUGAAAAUUUUAAUUUAAUUAAUUGUUGCAUGCGCAAUGUUUCGUUGGAUUUUUAUGUAAUAUAAAUUUAUAUUGAAAUUGUAUUUAAUCUGCCUAGAAAUUUCAGGAUAAAAAUAUUUCAGAUCCCAUCAAAAUGUGGGAAAUUUUAUUGAAUUCUAUUUUGAACGGUUGGAUGAAAUUAUUAAUCGUUGUCCUAGCUAGAAAAUGGGUGUACUUUUAACAAACUGUAAAUGGGUUGUAGUAAAUUCCAUUAGAAUUAAAAAAUGGGUUGCACAUUCUUACAAAUCUCAAAUGAGAUAUAAGUUCUCUGCCACACACUUGUGGGCUUACUAAGUUGACGCGUCCCCUAAAAAAAAUAAGUUGACGCGUAUGCAAGGCUUUGUCAACUUAUAGUCAACACACAGUUCUGGCAGCAGUGGCCAUUGGAUGUCCAUCCAACGGAUGUCGUGCUUCUGCUUCAAUCUCGUAUAUUCUAGCUUCACCCGCCCAAAAAGUUAUUCCUCCCCCUGACAUCUGGGGCGCACAGUUUCAGAAGCCGACUUAUGGUCCUACUAAGUUAACCCGUACCAAGGGCUUUGUCAACUUAGUCAAUAUAAACGAUUCUAGCUGCAGUGACCGUACGAUGUCCAUCCAGCAGCCGUCAUGCUUCUUCAACCUCUGGUCUUCUUGCUCCAGCCGCCCAAAGUAGCGUCGGUUGUGCCACCUGCUCCUGUCUCCCGUUGUCGGCUGUGCUGCCGCGGAGGCCUCACCGCCCCCUACUACUCCCACUGCUGGCCAGGCCAUCCCUCCACUCAGCCACACCCCCUGUUAUUCUGCGGCGACGGCAGCCUCACACCGCAGUCGAACUAGUGAACCCUCGUACUCCUCUCCGCAUGGGCAUCCACUGUCGCGUCUUCCCCGGCUCCGCGUUGUCCCUUUCCUAGGCCUCACUGUCCUCCACCGCCUUGGUGCUCUCAGUGCGGCGUGGUCAAUGUGGUCAACGACCGACUUCCAUCGGAAGAGUACUGUACGUGGAGAGGCUGACAGCUGGCUCCACGGCCGCAGCAAGGAAGUGCCUCCUUAUUACGCGGAAAAUAAUGAUUCCUCCACCUGACAGCAGGGACCCACCGGACGGGCCACCGUAUUUCGCAAAAAAAAGUUUCCCCCUGACUGCUAGGACCUACCAGCUACAUCUUCGCAUGCAAGGAAGUGCAUUGAUAUUACGAGCAAAAAAAUGAUUCACCCUCUGAAUGCUGGGACCCACCAGCUACAUCUUCGCACACAAGUAAGUGCCUGACAGUCGGGACCCACCUGGUCGAAGCGUACGUAGCGUUGUCAUUCCAGUCACGAACGUGUACAUACAUACUGGUCGAUGUAGAGGCACGUACGUGUCGUAGAAGAGGCACGCAUGUAGCAUAUACACGUACGUACAGUGGCCAGGGUGCAAGAAAGAAAAUACAGCCACGUACGUACAUACGGGCGGGGUCUCGAACGCCUACUCGCGCAUACGUACGGCCAGGGCUCAUGUACAUGGUUGGGUCAGAAUUGAGAAACUGCUCGUCGUCGUGUUCAUGGGGAGCCAACCGGCUGGGUCGGAACAUAAUGCGUCGUCGUGUUCAUCGGUUGGGCUUGGACGGAACAGCUGAUGGAAACGAGGCUUGGCGUACCACAGAAUGGGGGAAACGGCCUUGUGUUUGACCGGCCACGAUCAAAACGGGAUCCCGUUCAUCAGGAGAGGUCUGGCGUACUGCAAAACGGAGGAAACAGACUUCUGUUGAAUCUUCUAUGGUCGAAACGGGGUCCUGUUGACCGGGAGGAGUGUGGCGUACCGCAAAACGGAGGAAACAGACUUGUGUUGGAGCACUACGGUCGAAAUAAGGGUUCUGUUCGUCAGGAGUGGUGUGGCGUACCGCAAAACGGGACUCCACAGGAUACUAUUUAUCUCCACCGUCGACCUCCUCCAGCCUCCAGGGGCUACUGUUCAUCCACCUCGACCUCCUCCAGCCUCCACCUGCGACUAUUCAUCCACGGGCUCCUGUUCAUCCAGCCUCCACCGCGCGCUCCUCCACCGGCUACUGCUCAACCAGCCCUCUCCACGGGGUCCUAUUCAACCACCCCUCCACGGGCUACUUUCAUCUAGCCCUCCACAGGAUACUGUUCAACCAGCCCUCCAUGGGGUCGUCCUGUUCAUCCAGCCCUCCACGGGGUCCUGUUCAUCCACCCCCAACCGGCUUGAUCGGGGUCCUGUUCAUCCAGAGGCAACACCACGGGGUCCUGUUCAUCCACCCCCAAUGGGAACUGUGUAACGCCCCGAAUACAACUUUCCAUAUUCGUAACUGCAACUCUUGCCUUUUCCGGAGAUGUGAUAUGUUAUUCCCUUCGUGGUUGGGUUUUUGUCUUUUGUUUUGCAUUUUGUUCAUGUCUUGCAUCUCAUCUUAUAGUAUCAUGUGCAUCGCAUCCAUAUGUUUUCAUAAAACCCGUACCCGUUCGUAGUUGCCGCGUUCCCCUUGCCUCCUUUGACCGUUCCGAGACCAACCGAGUUUCUCGAGUCCCUCUUGUCUGACCACCUAACCUCUCUGCACAACCAUCGGCCUCCUCUUGUGCGUGUCCGAAACUUACCCGAACCCGAACCGGUCUGUCGUUUCCGAUGGAUCCGUAUCAUCCCCAAACGUCUACAAAACAUAUCCGUUUUCUCAUUUGGUUUCUCUAGCCUAUUUCCGUGACCACCCGAUUACGAUCGGAGGGACCGGAUAGCCCUAGCGUAAACCACUUGCUAUAUAUAUAUAUAUAUCUAUAUCNNNNNNNNNNNNNNNNNNNNNNNNNNNNNNNNNNNNNNNNNNNNNNNNNNNNNNNNNNNNNNNNNNNNNNNNNNNNNNNNNNNNNNNNNNNNNNNNNNNNNNNNNNNNNNNNNNNNNNNNNNNNNNNNNNNNNNNNNNNNNNNNNNNNNNNNNNNNNNNNNNNNNNNNNNNNNNNNNNNNNNNNNNNNNNNNNNNNNNNNNNNNNNNNNNNNNNNNNNNNNNNNNNNNNNNNNNNNNNNNNNNNNNNNNNNNNNNNNNNNNNNNNNNNNNNNNNNNNNNNNNNNNNNNNNNNNNNNNNNNNNNNNNNNNNNGGGAUCCAAGCCCGCAGCCAGCCUCUCUCCCUCCCUCGUUUUCAGCGUCACCAACCAGAGCCCGAUCCAGAUCCCCUUCGCUCCAAUCAGCCGCUGCCUCCUUCUUCCUCGAUCUCCCCUACCACCUUCUCCCAUCGAUCCAUCCACCCAACCCACGCACAACCAGCCGCUCUCGAUCCAGCCUCGUGGAGCGCUCCUGAGGUCCGAGCUCCUCCAACCUUGCGACCCCGCUACACCGGCGAACCUCGCCGCCGGCAACCACCACCAGCAGAUAAGCCCUGCGCCGCCCCUUCCUUCCUGCUUCUCUCUUCUCCCUCUUACAUCUCCAUCUCGUUUCCUUUUUCCGUCAGAGAACCAUCAGCCGAAGCUGUCCCUGUCGCCCGAGCUCCUCCCUGCUCUGCGUCGCGCCGCUGCUCUGCUUCCCGGAGGACCUCGGCGAGAGCCUCGCUCGCGCCUCAUCCCGCCCCUAUGCGUUGACCACCACGGCCGCCGCGCCGCCCCUCCGCGACGAGCUCCGCCGCCCAAACUGCGCCAUCGCCUGCCGCAGUCCCUGUCGCCGUCGUCUUCAACGGUUCCUGACGAGGACGGCGCCCUCCUGUCCGUCUCGAGCGCCAAGUCCGUCCGCGCCUCGCCUUCCUCCACCUCGCCGACCCCUCCGGAUUCGGCCACUGGAACCCGAGCCCGCGCCGGAUCCUCAUCGCAGUUCCUCAUCGCCGGCCAGUCCCGCCCUCCGCUGCUGCCUUGCCGAUGUCACGCCGGUGCGCCAUUCCCCUGCUUCUGUGUGCGAGCACGCAAGGACGACGACCAGUGCCAAGUUCUGCUCGAGCCGCCUGCGUUGACCCACCUGCCUUCGCGCCAAGGCCUAGCCUCGCCAGAUCAGCAGGCCCAGCGCCCCCCAGCUCCUCUUCCCCGACCGGGCCAGGCCCAAUGUGAGCAGAACCCCAGCCCAGCACCCAGCAGUUUCAGCCUAGUGUUAUUUUUUUCCUGUUGCUGCGAAUUUGCCUAUUAUCCAGAAAACUGCCCAUUUUCAGAAAACCCCUUAAUGUUCAUGCAUCAAUAACUCAUUAACCAUGCAUCGGAUUAAAACAAAUUAUAUAUGUAAAAUGCUUAGAAUUUUGUGUAGAUUAAUAAUUUGCCACUUUCAACCAUGUUAAAUAUGUUUAAUUUGCUGUUUGCAUUAAUUUGCUAAAAUGCCAUGCUAAAAUGAUUUAUUUCAUAAUUAAAUAACCGUAGCUCGGUUUUAAAUAAACUUUAUAUGUAAAUGGGGUGGAAAAAUGCAUAGAAUAACAUGGUCCACUUUAUUUUUCUGUUUAACUACAUUAAAAUAUGGUUUAGGGCAGAACAGUACCGAAUCUAAAAUAUGCAUAUGGGGACUUUCCGGAAUUGUUGUUUGUUGUUCCGGCCUCAUUUAAACUUGACUAAAUAGUUAGUUUACUUUUGAUUCACCCCUUGCCAUGUUUAACAACAUUUAAUAUUGAUGAGUAGCAUAACCGAGAGAACUAAAUACUUGCAUGUGGUGUUUCGUCAAUAUGCAACUCAUUGCAUAUUGAGCUCCACUUAACUUGUAGUGUUGUUUGUGCAUAUUGCCAUGCCAUGCCUCAUUAAACCGGACAUGCAUCAUACUUGUUUGUGCAUCAUGCCAUGUUUAUGCUCGUGCAUUUACCAUGUUGUUUGUUUAUUUCCGGUGUUGCUUCUUAGUUCCGGUAAUGUUGCGAUUGUGAGGAUUCGUUCGACUACUCCCGUUCGUCUUCUUCAUGGACUCGUUCUUCUUCCUUGCGGGAUUUCAGGCAAGAUGACCGCUACCCUGGAUCUCACUACUAUCAUUGCUAUGCUAGUUGCUUCGUUCUAUCGCUAUGCUGCGCUACCUAUCUUUUGCUCUUCAAGCCUCCCAAAUUUCCAUGUCAGCCUCUAAUCUUUUCACCCUUCCUAGCAAACCAUUGCUUGGCUAUGUUACCGCUUUUGCUCAGCCC
rnacentral:lncRNA from 1 species